AACUUUCAACAACGGAUCUCUUGGUUCUGGCAUCGAUGAAGAACGCAGCGAAAUGCGAUAAGUAAUGUGAAUUGCAGAAUUUAGUGAAUCAUCGAAUCUUUGAACGCACAUUGCGCCCCUCGGUAUUGCGGGGGGCAUGCCUGUUCGAGCGUCAUUA
rnacentral:rRNA from 1 species